AGUCGAGGGGCAGCAUAAUGGAUAGCAAUAUCUAUGGUGGCGACCGGCGCACGGGUGCGUAACGCGUAUGCAACCUACCUUUAACAGGGGGAUAACACUGAGAAAUUGGUACUAAUACCCCAUAAUAUCAUAGAAGGCAUCUUUUAUGGUUGAAAAUUCCGAUGGUUAGAGAUGGGCAUGCGUUGUAUUAGCUAGUUGGUGGGGUAACGGCUCACCAAGGCGACGAUACAUAGGGGGACUGAGAGGUUAACCCCCCACACUGGUACUGAGACACGGACCAGACUCCUACGGGAGGCAGCAGUGAGGAAUAUUGGUCAAUGGACGCAAGUCUGAACCAGCCAUGCCGCGUGCAGGAUGACGGCUCUAUGAGUUGUAAACUGCUUUUGUACGAGGGUAAACGCAGAUACGUGUAUCUGUCUGAAAGUAUCGUACGAAUAAGGAUCGGCUAACUCCGUGCCAGCAGCCGCGGUAAUACGGAGGAUUCAAGCGUUAUCCGGAUUUAUUGGGUUUAAAGGGUGCGUAGGCGGUUUGAUAAGUUAGAGGUGAAAUUUCGGGGCUCAACCCUGAACGUGCCUCUAAUACUGUUGAGCUAGAGAGUAGUUGCGGUAGGCGGAAUGUAUGGUGUAGCGGUGAAAUGCUUAGAGAUCAUACAGAACACCGAUUGCGAAGGCAGCUUACCAAACUAUAUCUGACGUUGAGGCACGAAAGCGUGGGGAGCAAACAGGAUUAGAUACCCUGGUAGUCCACGCAGUAAACGAUGAUAACUCGUUGUCGGCGAUACACAGUCGGUGACUAAGCGAAAGCGAUAAGUUAUCCACCUGGGGAGUACGUUCGCAAGAAUGAAACUCAAAGGAAUUGACGGGGGCCCGCACAAGCGGAGGAACAUGUGGUUUAAUUCGAUGAUACGCGAGGAACCUUACCC
rnacentral:rRNA from 1 species